CUCCACUCUUAGUAAACCCAAAUGAAUUUCUCAAGGAAAAAGAAAUUGGCCCUAUCUUCUUCCAGUUAGUCAUGAUGCAGUAACAAAAUUAAACGCCCAAAGAGAAUCACUAUCUGUGGAUCCAUUCUAGUUUCUCCUCUUCUGAUUUUCUUGUUGCCAUCUUUUCAACAGUAUGGUAAAUGGGACGGUGUAAUGUGUGAGCAAGUGAUGAUUUCAACGAAUAGUUCACCAUAUCUCAACUAUUAACCUUCUGAUUUAUUCUUUGACUGUUGGCUGAGAGUGGGAUCAAAACAUUCCUCAAGCACUUUGGAAGCUCUCUUGAACACGAACUUCAGUAACAUUAAUGGCUCCUUCGUCUGGAGGUUAUUUCUUAUGGAUGAAAAUUGUUAAUGGCAUGAGCAAAGUCGGAAAAAGGCAGGGGUACUUGAAAGAGAGAUUUUCUAUAUGACCAAGUUCUACAUGACGUCUUUUCAAGUUGAAGUGUGCAAUCCACUAAAGGGGUGCAAAUGGAUGUUCAAAAAGGUUGUGGCAGCAAACAAGUUACAUCUACCCUCAGGCAGAGAUUUAAACACACAGUGAAAAGGCUUGUCAAGCCAGCCAUCAUUUUCAAAUCCCCCUUCGUCUCUCAAUGUGUUAGACUAUUUCCUAAAAUCAGCCAUCAAGAAAGGUUGGUUACUGAUUAUGCAUUGGCGAAAGAUGGUGAGCCAAAGUACUUCACAUGAAUUCAUCAUCUAUUGUUAAUGCGAGCAUUAUUGUUAAAGUUUAUGGCUAUUGACUAAACGCAUUUUUUACAUUGCAGUGAGAUCUUGUGCGAUAUGCAUGACACAUAUAAUCGUGGAGGACAAGAUGCAUCUAUAUCGAUUGAGGUUGGUUGUUACCUUGGUUACGAAUACGGCAAACAAUGCUAGAGAGAAGGUCAUGAAGGCAUGUUGAAUGUGAUGUAUGGGGGUUGUGCCACUUUAGUUAGUUGCAAUUUAUGAAAUACUACAAGUCGCCUAUAAAAGACAAUGUCAAAGAGAAGGGAAAGACGUGUUUGUAAAUGAUCAUGGUUUGCUUUAUUUGUUUGUUAAUAGUGUUUGCCACUGUGCACCAAUUUAUGCUAACAGAAUAAUGCACGUUGGGACAACAGUGGAAACAUUUGUCAGGGAUUAUCUGGUGGGAUUUGUUGAACUUCCAAUCAUCCCUUUGUCUUUUAUUCCAUGAUGCUCCAUUAACUUUAUUAGUCAUGCUUAUUGUCUUCUGUUUUACAGGAAAGGUUGAGCAGAGCUACAAAUUGGCUGAUGUUAAGUGCAUCAGCAAGGCCAAGUGUGAUUAAUAGGGGAGGUCAUUGAUGGCACCUUACUUGCCUGAGAGUGGGGCUGGUGGUGGCGGCAGUCCAUAAUCAGAAGGUGGGGCCCUCUAUGCUAUUGUGAUGCUUAAAUCAGUUUUAGGUUGCACUAUUAUUAUCUACUAUAUUUUGUUUGUUUUAGAUAAAACUACUUCUUAGCUUCAUGUCACCUUCUUUUCCCUUCUUUCUAUUCUCAUGAUUAUUAUUAUUAUUAUUAUUAUUUUUCUUAAUUGCAAACGACAAUUGGAAAACAUAAUUGUUGACAACCAUGAAGACACCAUGACGAAGACAGGAGCAAUGUUACUUUGGAAUCGUGGCUGCUGGAAAAAGGGAUGUGAUCAUAAGACAUUCUCAUCAUCACUCAGACUUUAUAAUAUAAUUGUUCAUAUUUUGAUUUUUGUUUGUAAAUUUAGGCAUGCCCAAUACUAGAGCUCUCUAAAAACUAUAUAGAUACAUCAUAAUUGGUUUUUUUGGUUUACCAUUUUUACUUUGGGAAACCAUUGCAUACUUCCGAUAUAUUUGGGUUGUGCCCCCUCUUCUGUUAGGUGCUUUUAGAUUAAUUUAUCAGUGACUAAAAAAAUACAUUGGUAUAUGAAAUUUUGGUUGAGCUAAAGAGGUUACUCCAUGACCUCUUUGCAGGUGCGCGGUUCUAUGAGAGCCAUGCAAUAUGAGAAACUAUUGCCUUGGUUGAAGAACUUGCUUUCUAUUCUGCAUACUAUUUGGCCAAGUACGAUGUGUUUGAUAUUGGCUUUAUAACUACGGACGACUUCACAAAUGUAGACAUAUUGGAAGCAACUUACCCAGCUGUUGCAAAGAGGGUUGGAGAUCUGGUGCAGUUACUACUUUGGGUAGGGGUGGGAGUGAUUUGACAGCCACAUCCAUUGGUAGAGCCUUAGGCUUGCAAGAGAUUCAGGAAAUGGCGAUUGGUCUAUUCCAGAAGGAGAUAGCCUGAAAGGAAACAACCCUUCUGAGGCAACAAAUCCAAUGACACUGCCUCCCAGAAGUACCAUCAAAUAAUUGUGGAUUGGAGAGAGUUCAGAGCAGCUCUCUUUGUUCGGGAACAGGCAGAAAAGGCAUAUCGUGAGGCUUACAGCGAAGGUGGAACACCCCAAGAGCGUAGUGCUUCCUGUAGGCCUGAAAUGGGCCCAUCCUAUUCGAGGACCCGAGACUGGCUAUGUCCUUAUAGCCACAAUGAAGCUUGAUGGGGUACGCUCCUUUGAAAGAACCGUUGUUCUCCUUCUCAGAUCUGGAACCAGACACCCACAGGAGGGGCCAUUUGGAGUUGUCAUUAACCGGGCUCUUCACAAAACGAUCAAACACAUGAAGCCCAUUAAUCUGGAGCUGGCAACCACUUUUGCUGAAUGUUCCUUGCAUUUUGGUGGUCCUCUAGAGGCAAGCAUGUUUUUACUUAAAACAGGGGUUUUGACUUGCGAUCCAAGUAUUUAUCCACGUGCAUUGCAUGUACGAUAUUGUAAUUAUAUUAGGACUUUAAGGUUAUUUUCUCUUUUUAUGAGGUGUACGAUUGAUUAUUUAGCUGAUAUUUAAGAUUCAGAAGUGAACUCUUGAUGUGGUGAUAA